rnacentral:rRNA from 1 species
GACGAACGCUGGCGGCGUGCUUAACACAUGCAAGUCGAACGGAAAGGCCCUGCUUUUGUUGGGUGCUCGUGUGGCGAACGGGUGAGUAACACGUGAGUAACCUGCCCUUGACUUUGGGAUAACUUCAGGAAACUGGGGCUAAUACCGGAUAGGAGCUCCUGCACCAUGGUGGGGGUUGGAAAGUUUCGGCGGUUGGGGAUGGACUCGCGGGUUAUCCGCUUGUUGGUGGGGUAGUGGCUUACCAGGGCUUUGACGGGUAGCCGGCCUGAGAGGGGUACCGGCCACAUUGGGACUGAGAUACGGCCCAGACGCCUACGGGAGGCAACAGGGGAGAGUAUGGCACAAUGGGCGGAAGCCUGAGGCAGCAACGUCGCGUGCGGGAUGACGGCCUUCGGGUGGUAAACCGCUGUCGCCGGUGACGAAGCGUGAGUGACGGUAAUGGGUAAAGAAGCACCGGCUAACUACGUG